rnacentral:rRNA from 1 species
GAUGAACGCUGGCGGCGUGCCUAAUACAUGCAAGUAGAACGCUGAAGCUUGGUGCUUGCACCGAGCGGAUGAGUUGCGAACGGGUGAGUAACGCGUAGGUAACCUGCCUCUUAGCGGGGGAUAACUAUUGGAAACGAUAGCUAAUACCGCAUAAAAGUCGAUAUCGCAUGAUGUUGAUUUGAAAGGUGCAAUUGCAUCACUAAGAGAUGGACCUGCGUUGUAUUAGCUAGUUGGUGAGGUAACGGCUCACCAAGGCGACGAUACAUAGCCGACCUGAGAGGGUGAUCGGCCACACUGGGACUGAGACACGGCCCAGACUCCUACGGGAGGCAGCAGUAGGGAAUCUUCGGCAAUGGGGGCAACCCUGACCGAGCAACGCCGCGUGAGUGAAGAAGGUUUUCGGAUCGUAAAGCUCUGUUGUAAGAGAAGAACGAGUGUGAGAGUGGAAAGUUCACACUGUGACGGUAACUUACCAGAAAGGGACGGCUAACUACGUGCCAGCAGCCGCGGUAAUACGUAGGUCCCGAGCGUUAUCCGGAUUUAUUGGGCGUAAAGCGAGCGCAGGCGGUUAGAUAAGUCUGAAGUUAAAGGCUGUGGCUUAACCAUAGUACGCUUUGGAAACUGUUUAACUUGAGUGCAGAAGGGGAGAGUGGAAUUUCAUGUGUAGCGGUGAAAUGCGUAGAUAUAUGGAGGAACACCGGUGGCGAAAGCGGCUCUCUGGUCUGUAACUGACGCUGAGGCUCGAAAGCGUGGGGAGCAAACAGG